AAGUUGCACCCCUUGAUAUUAUACAAUUGCCACCCAACUUAGUGACACAAAAUCAGCUCUCCAGGCCUACAGCAAUUCGUGCUUGCUCUUCUGUGAGGUCGAGUGUUCCAAAUAUUAUAAGCCAGAGUAGAAACAGACAGCCAGGGUGUGCUCAGGGUAGAAAUAGACUUGUGCCUCGUUCUGUUUCACAGAAAGCAGUCAGUAUACAUAAUACUGCCAUUCCACAAGAUAGAGGCCAACAAUUUGUCUCCUCUGAUACAAUGUUUAAAAGGCCAGGAAUCAUC
rnacentral:misc_RNA from 1 species